rnacentral:rRNA from 1 species
CAGCACCUCAAGUGGUCAGGAUGAUUAUUGGGCCUAAAGCAUCCGUAGCCGGCGCUGUAAGUUUUCGGUUAAAUCUGUACGCUCAACGUACAGGCUGCCGGGAAUACUGCAGCGCUAGGGAGUGGGAGAGGUAGACGGUACUCGGUAGGAAGGGGUAAAAUCCUUUGAUCUAUUGAUGACCACCCGUGGCGAAGGCGGUCUACCAGAACACGUCCGACGGUGAGGGAUGAAAGCUAGGGGAGCAAACCGGAUUAGAUACCCGUGUAGUCC